CGGGGCGACAGGGCCAGCCGGGUCAGGUGACCAGCGGGGGCGGAGCCAGGGCGCGUCACUGCAGAGCCCGCAGAGCCGGGGAGCGGAUCGCUGUGGCCCCGGCUCCUCGCGCCCUAGCACUUUUCACUUCCGGGCAAGACUGUGGCCUUCGCUCUCCCAGGCAGGGUUCACAUCGGCCGCGACCCGGCAGCGGGCGAACGGGCGGGCGGAGCCCGAGGCGCGGGCCUCCACGCCGAUGCCCCCCCUCUGCUCGGCAACUGGGGGAGCUCCUGGUGCCCGCCUGCUCCCCGCGGAGGCUGGCGCGGACGGGGGGUUGGGUGGCGGUGCCGGCCGUGCCUGGAGGCUCCUCCCCCGGCCUGCCUCGCUGUCCUCGCGGCGCCCAGACGGGAUCGGGCCGAGCCGCGCUCGGCCGGGUCCCUGCACAGAGGGCUGGAAGAACUUGGCAUUUCCAGCACAACCAACCGGAACAUUCUGGACUCAUUUCCCUUCAUUCUUGCCUGCAAACCGACCUCAUUUCUUACCAAAUGCAGCCAGUAACAGGGCACAGCAAGGUUUAAGGAUACACAGGCACCUAAGCACAAUGGAAAGAGAAGAAAAGGGCUCAGAAGAAAAGUCAAAGAAGCCAAGCAUACAGAUAAAGUGCGGUGGAGAGGGAGUCUGCAAGGGUCUGCUGUGAUAAGCAAGCGAAACGUCAGGAACCAGCAGGUGUUCUCACAGCAGUGUGUCAGUAUCUGGCUGCAGGCUGGAGAGGACUUCCCUGCGGGAGUUGGGCCUGUGCCCCUUGCAGCCUCUUCUGGGUGCUCUGCCCCGGGAGUUCUGUGCCUCUCUCGACUUGAUUCCACCUCAAGUCAGGGAGCCUGUAGGUGCCACCCAGAGCUGACUUCACUGUGUUGAGACCUACCAGGUCUCAGCGAUCACUGUCCGGAACUGCCUGCUGUCCAAAGUCUGGAAGUUGUUUUUCCACAUG